rnacentral:rRNA from 1 species
UACGGGGGGAGCAAGCGUUGUUCGGAUUUACUGGGCGUAAAGGGCGCGUAGGCGGCGCAACAAGUCACUUGUGAAAUCUCCGGGCUUAACCCGGAGCGGCCAAGUGAUACUGUCGUGCUAGAGUGCGGAAGGGGCUACUGGAAUUCUCGGUGUAGCGGUGAAAUGCGUAGAUAUCGAGAGGAACACCUGCGGCGAAGGCGGGUUGCUGGGCCGACACUGACGCUGAAGCGCGAAAGCUAGGGGAGCGAACGGG